ACAGUUCAUAACGUACAUUUUUUUAACCGACAAAAUUACUUUUAUUUCAUGUAUCAUCGUUUUAAAUGUUUCUAUCAUUUUAAUGAUGAUAGUUGCAUUUUCUAAUAUUACUUUUGUGUAUCAAAUACAGUCUUUAAAAUUGUAUCAAUUUGCAAGAUUAUGAAGCAUAUUUAUUACAACGAAAGAAACAAUGCGUAAGAAGUGGCUGCUGGCCAGUCUGCGCUCCACAAUCUAUACUGUAAGUCGAUUCAUUUAUUAUUAUAAUAGAUUUAUAUAAAUUAUUAAUUGGGUCGGAUGACCAACCAUUGUUAUUUUUGUCUGUUAUGCCAAAACUGUCAUAUGUUUUAUACUGUGCACUAAACAAUUUAAUAUAGAAAAUUUGUGUUAACAUUUUAUUCUAAUGUAAAAACUUACACACCCACAUAUAUACACACAUACACACACCACCACAUGCUAGCACUCACUGGUCUUGUUCGGCGAACCCGUCCAUUUCCUUUGAGUCUUGCUACACAUUUAUACACACUUAUUACACAUAUCGGUCGGUAAGCGUCAGGUAUUAUAGGUGUAGCGGAGUAAAUACGGCGAUUUCGGCGCACGUUCUAUUAUUGUAACGUUCCCGGCGCAAAAAUAAUUAAUAAUAACAUGAUGGCCGAUAUGUUGAAUUAGUGUUAUUUGUACAUAAUAAUAUACUUUAGAAGUUUAAAAUACCCACGAAAAAUCUUUUAAAAGUAUAACACAAAACUAAAAUCAUCUUUCUCCGUUUAAACCAGGGCCUUGCACCUGAAUUAACCCAAACCCUUAACACCCCUAAACACCCUUAAAAAAUCAAAUACCCGUAAUCAAUAUAACCGAAUGAUUAUGUUUUCAAAACACCCGUAUUAACCAAAAUCCGAAUAAUUUCAUUUUUACAAACUCUUCAUGUGAUAUAUAAUUUUAUACGUAUUUCUUGUAGCGAGUUUGAUUCUGUAGUUAGUUGUUUGAUAAUAAUAAACUAACAGGAACAAUCUUAUAAUCAAUCAGUACCUAAUAAAUAAUAUGAUUUAUUACUUUAUUAGUAUAUAAAUUGGACCCAAAUAUAGCUUUUAACAAUAUAAAAUAAUAAAUAUAGACAUAGUCUCAACAGAACUGAAUAACGUAUUGACAGUCGUGAACAAAAUAUCAAAUACUAAUAACUAAUAAUACUCAGUAUUAUUUGCCACAAACUUCCCAAGCGGUAUUAUUAUACAUUUAUACCUAAAUAUUAUGAGUAACGAAUAUCAUAAUUCGUGGCUAUAUUUAUUAUUUACCAGAUUUCCAGAAUUAUAUUGUUUCUCUACGACUCAACGCCCAUAGGGCCUAACUAUUUUAAACAUUUUAUUAUAUGCGUCGACUUCGCAAGUGGUAAAUUGUAUUUUUGUUAUUUGUAUCACACUACGACGCACCUCUCACGCAGUCAAUUGUCAACUUUUGUCGUUGUUAUUAUUAAUUCAUCGUAGAAUUUUGAAUUUGUUAGUAUAUUACCUAUAUUUUAAUUUAUUUUAUAAUAUUAACUAAUAGUUGUAUUAUAAUCAUAUUAUUAUUCAUGAUAGAACUGUAAAAGAAAGCCUAUUUAAAUGUUAAGUUAUCAUAAAAUAAUAAUCGAUAUUCUGUUGUAUAUGUAGAUAAUAUUAUGCAAAAUUAAAAAUAUAUCAAUCUGUUGUAACUGUUGAUUUUGCAAAAUACAUUCAUUAUGACGUUUAAUACGUGUUAUGGUUUUUUCUUUCAAAUGGGAUUGGGCUCUAUCAAGUAAACUAGUUUUUACCAUUUAAAGAUUAUGAUUUUUGAUGACUGUUUUUUGUUUGCUCAUCAAAUAGAAUAUUUUUCUGAAUAUUUUCAAUAAGUAUAAUUUUUUUUAAAUAUGCCACUAUGUU
rnacentral:lncRNA from 1 species